UACAGAGACUGCAAGCGUUUAUUCGGAUUCACUGGGCGUAAAGGGUGCGCAGGCGGCCAAGUGUGUGAGGCGUGAAAGCCCGGGGCUUAACCCCGGAAUUGCACCUCAAACUACAUGGCUAGAGCAUUGGAGAGGGUAGCAGAAUUCAUGGUGUAGCAGUGAAAUGCGUAGAUAUCAUGAGGAAUACCAGAGGCGAAGGCGGCUACCUGGACAAUUGCUGACGCUCAGGCACGGAAAGCGUGGGGAGCAAAAGGG
rnacentral:rRNA from 1 species